AGUUUGAUCCUGGCUCAAGAUGAACGCUAUCUACAGGCUUAACACAUGCAAGUCGAGGGGCAGCAUGGUCUUAUCUUGCUAAGGCCGAUGGCGACCGGCGCACGGGUGAGUAACACGUAUCCAACCUGCCGUCUACUCUUGGACAGCCUUCUGAAAGGAAGAUUAAUACAAGAUGGCAUCAUGAGUCCGCAUGUUCACAUGAUUAAAGGUAUUCCGGUAGACGAUGGGGAUGCGUUCCAUUAGAUAGUAGGCGGGGUAACGGCCCACCUAGUCUUCGAUGGAUGGGGGUUCUGAGAGGAAGGUCCCCCACAUUGGAACUGAGACACGGUCCAAACUCCUACGGGAGGCAGCAGUGAGGAAUAUUGGUCAAUGGGCGAGAGCCUGAACCAGCCAAGUAGCGUGAAGGAUGACUGCCCUAUGGGUUGUAAACUUCUUUUAUAAAGGAAUAAAGUCGGGUAUGGAUACCCCGUUUGCAUGUACUUUAUGAAUAAGGAUCGGCUAACUCCGUGCCAGCAGCCGCGGUAAUACGGAGGAUCCGAGCGUUAUCCGGAUUUAUUGGGUUUAAAGGGAGCGUAGAUGGAUGUUUAAGUCAGUUGUGAAAGUUUGCGGCUCAACCGUAAAAUUGCAGUUGAUACUGGAUAUCUUGAGUGCAGUUGAGGCAGGCGGAAUUCGUGGUGUAGCGGUGAAAUGCUUAGAUAUCACGAAGAACUCCGAUUGCGAAGGCAGCCUGCUAAGCUGCAACUGACAUUGAGGCUCGAAAGUGUGGGUAUCAAACAGGAUUAGAUACCCUGGUAGUCCACACGGUAAACGAUGAAUACUCGCUGUUUGCGAUAUACAGCAAGCGGCCAAGCGAAAGCGUUAAGUAUUCCACCUGGGGAGUACGCCGGCAACGGUGAAACUCAAAGGAAUUGACGGGGGCCCGCACAAGCGGAGGAACAUGUGGUUUAAUUCGAUGAUACGCGAGGAACCUUACCCGGGCUUAAAUUGCAGAUGAAUUACGGUGAAAGCCGUAAGCCGCAAGGCAUCUGUGAAGGUGCUGCAUGGUUGUCGUCAGCUCGUGCCGUGAGGUGUCGGCUUAAGUGCCAUAACGAGCGCAACCCUUGUUGUCAGUUACUAGCAGGUUCCGCUGAGGACUCUGACAAGACUGCCAUCGUAAGAUGUGAGGAAGGUGGGGAUGACGUCAAAUCAGCACGGCCCUUACGUCCGGGGCUACACACGUGUUACAAUGGGGGGUACAGAGGGCCGCUACCACGCGAGUGGAUGCCAAUCCCCAAAACCUCUCUCAGUUCGGACUGGAGUCUGCAACCCGACUCCACGAAGCUGGAUUCGCUAGUAAUCGCGCAUCAGCCACGGCGCGGUGAAUACGUUCCCGGGCCUUGCAC
rnacentral:rRNA from 1 species